UGUUCUAUGAUGAUAGUAUUGUCGCCCCAGUCUGAUAUUUCAUGACUGAUUGACAUCAAUUUCUGAGAAAAA